rnacentral:lncRNA from 1 species
UGCCAAUUAGCUAAUCAGGGACAAAGAAAUGAUCAGAUGACUUUCUGACAUCCUUGAGCCAUUUCUCUGUGUGAUAUGGACUUUAGAUUAGUGCCUUAUGGGUUUUGUUUGGGCCAUGGGCUGUCACAACCACUGCUACAGAUAGCCCAUUUUGUAUUGUCAUAUGAUGGGACCAAUAAGGAGCAGGGUGUGUGUGAGGACGAUUCCUGGAAACCAGUUUGUCAGUCUUUGCCUUUAACCUAUGAUUUUUAGCCAGGCAUAAAGGAGGAAAUUACGAGGAAGAGCUUUUGUUGUUUCCUGGUGAAAUGAGAAGCCCUGCGAAUGGGAAGUUUGCUCAAACUGUUCCUAAAAAGCAGAGCUGGGCCUGCCCCUGGCUUGGCCUCCUUUCACUGGGACAGGUCAAGGCAUCCUAGGCAAAGGGUAGGAAGUUUAUGAGAAAGCUGGUCUAACCUCACAUAUCUUAUGUCUUCCCUCCACACUAUUAAUAGACACUUAAAAUUAUUUCAUUCCAGUCUCCUAUAGCCAGGGAAAAAAGCCUCAUCUGAAUCAUUGGAUUUUUAGUUAAAAGGGAGAAAUUAUAGUCUUUCUUCAAUAUGUGGUACUGUUUUGAAAAUAAAUAUAAUUCAGUUCCUUGGCAAGUUUAGAAAUGGGGUUUCAGAAGUGACUGUCAUCUUUUAAAUACUUACUAUGCAAUUGGUUUUAUUUAUUUAAGAAUAUUGAAUGUUUUUCUUUUGAUCUCACAAGCAUUGUUCUAUGUCUUCAAUGUCUCAUCUACUG